rnacentral:rRNA from 1 species
GGGACCCGCACAAGCGGUGGAUGAUGUGGUUUAAUUCGAUGCAACGCGAAAAACCUUACCCACCUUUGACAUGUACGGAAUCCUUUAGAGAUAGAGGAGUGCCCGAAAGAGAACCGUAACACAGGUGCUGCAUGGCUGUCGUCAGCUCGUGUCGUGAGAUGUUGGGUUAAGUCCCGCAACGAGCGCAACCCUUGUCAUUAGUUGCUACAUUCAGUUGGGCACUCUAAUGAGACUGCCGGUGACAAAUCGGAGGAAGGUGGGGAUGACGUCAAGUCCUCAUGGCCCUUAUAGGUGGGGCUACACACGUCAUACAAUGGAUGGUACAAAGGGUCGCCAACCCGCGAGGGGGAGCCAAUCCCAUAAAGCCAUUCGUAGUCCGGAUCGCAGUCUGCAACUCGACUGCGUGAAGUCGGAAUCGCUAGUAAUCGUGGAUCAGAAUGUCACGGUGAAUACGUUCCCGGGUCUU